rnacentral:lncRNA from 1 species
UCGUCUGCUCGGAGAUCGGGAUCCCAUGUCCACUGGCGAUGGAGAGGCCUUCCCAGUGAGAGAUGGUCCAUGUAUUAAUUGGAUCAUAUAGUAGAAACCUUAAACGUUGCAUGGGAAGUAAAUCGAGUCAACUUAUAAAACGAAAACAAGUCUUGGCCUUACGGUGGUCAAUGCUGAUCUAUCAUGAAAACAACUUCCUCGAAUACUUGUCCUCUAUAGCCGCCUCUUCAGCCCUUGACUAGAAAACCACCUUCGCUCCAAUUAAUUUGUGGUCAAGAAUAUUUUUUAAAGAUAUUUCUAGGUUUUUAACCCCCAAACCUUGGCGGUUAUUUGGAUUUUGCAUGAAAAACAAUGUUUGCAAGUGUAAAAAUAAUGUGCAAUCACAUAAUGUUUUUAUUUCAUAUAUUUCACAUUUUUUUCCAGGCCGCGUAGAACCUCCUUCCAAAACCUGCCAUCGUUGCUAUACCUACAAAAUCAAGUGUCAUGUAUGCUUCAUGUGGGAAUGCAGAUCAGCUACUCUCCUAAAAACCUUUUCAAUCUAAGUGAAGCUUGCCUAUUCUGUUGCUUUCAUAACCUAAAAGAAUAGUCUUGACCGCACAUCUAAGGGUUUCAUGGCGGCUUGGCAAGAGCGAUGGGGCAGAAGCAGCGUACCGUUUCCAUGGGAGGACCUGAAUCUGCCGUCUAUAGAGCUCUCCCUCGAGCUAAGCAACCACGAGCAGCGCUUGAAAAGUCUGCCAUCAUUGGUUACUCAGGCUGGCUCAUGCAAGACCUACGGAAUGGUGGUAGAGCACCUCUGCGCAAGGAAUACGCUCCUGCCGCCGCAGGACGCUGUGCUCGAGGGGAGGAUGACGGUUGCGCUGGAUCUGGACAACACACUCAUCUCCUUCACGUCACUUCUCCGGCGGAGCCAGUGUGAUUUCGAGGUGAGAGAUGAUGGCAGUCCAAGUGCAUCAAGAAGCGACCGCAUCUCGACGAGUUCCUGGACGCCCUGGCGUUGUUUGCCGAGGUUGUGCUAUUCAGCUCGGCCCCCUACGCAGCUCGCGUUGUCAAGCAGCUGGAUCCUCGUGGGACUCGCUUCCGGUACGUUCUUGGCCUGAGUGAUUGCACGCUGUGGCACGACACCCGCCUCGGCAAGGAGGCGCAUCUGGCAGGGACUUGCGCAAGGUUGUGCUGGUGGACGACGACCCUGGCUUCUUUUGCCAACCUGGGAGUGGCAACGAGAUUGUGAAUGGGAAGUUCACUGGGCAGAGGAGCGACGACGGGCUUCUCAAGCUACUUCCUGUGUUGCAGUCUCUGGCACAGCUCGACGACGUGAGGCCUGCUGUGUGCACUUAUCAGCAGCCUCAAGCACAAGGCAAUAAUAGUUCACUUGUUCUCGAUCUAAAAGCUUCAAUGGUGUUGGUUUUCUACGUAGUUGUGAGAGGUCAAGCGCUGAAGAGGACGUGGCGAAUGGCUGUAGAGGACAAGUAUUCGAGGAAGUUGUUUUCACGUUAAGGUUUGGUGAAGUUGACGAUUAGAAUUAGUUGACCAGAACUAAGACUUGUAUUCGUUUAUAAGUUGACUCAAUGCAACGUGGGGUUUCUUAUUUGAUCCAUUUGAUGCAGAAGGAAACAAACCCGGAAGCGGGUAUAUCAAAAAGGUGGCAGCAAGAGACAUCAUGACCAUCGUCGCGUGUGAAGGGCUGGAUCGAGUGGACACGUACCGCAUCUGGGAUGCUCGGGUGAAGCGAGCAGGCUUCGAAGGGGUGGCAGUGACGGAGGAGAUUUACGAGAAAGUGAGUGGCUCCUGCACGAGCAGGCACAAAGAAGUUAAAGAAAGAAUGUAGCUGGUUAUAGGCACAGGGUGGAUGACUGGUGUUUGAAGCGCGCUAGCUUCUCAAUCGGCUUCCAGACGCUCAAAGCAUUCAAAACUGCGUCUUUCUCGUCCAUUCAGCAAGUCAAGUCCUCGCAAACGGACAUGACCAUCUCGAGCGCUUCCGAGCCAGGCGGUCCCAGGUUUUGCACGAGGAGAUGCGCUCCACAUAAUGAACUUAUCCAUGAAGUCAAGCUGCGACUGGUCGAUCAACCCGAGCUUCAUCGUCUCCUCGAACGACUCCAGGAAGCUCCUCCAGGCCCUGUCGAAGCGGUGGAUAAAAAAUGGAGAGCUUAUGUCAGCGUGCACCACGGACUGGAACAACAUAACAGGCUUGAAGCUGAGGAUCUUCUCGAAGAAGAGCUUCCGGGGCUGUCGAUGAUCCCGUCCUCGCAGACGUGCCUCAUCCAAAAGAUGAUAUCUCGGCUGCGCUGACUCCCAUGCCACGGUGGCGAUGGAGUGCAACUCGAGGUGCAUCCCACACGUAGUCGACCAGCCGGUUUCCUCGAGGUUGACACGGGACGGGAAGUUAAUGCCGGUGAUCUUGAAUAGUGGCAGCCCCUCGGCUAUCUCGGACAGCACCUUGAUGAGCGACGGCCACUGAUCGCCAUAGAGGACCCCAUAGUUAAUUAUGUGGACGCGCUUGGCAGGAUCAUCUGGUUGGUGAAGCGCUCCAUGGCCCGGAGGCUGGGAAGAUUCAUCCGGAUGGAGAUACUCUGCAUCCUCGUCACGUCCUGGUGCAUCGCAGCGUACAUCCGAGCUCCACACCCGGACAGCCUUCUCCUCUGGACGCAACUGAGGUGAAGCUAAAGUUCUGAUCUGUCUCACGAGCUCAUGGACUUGGGUAGAAUUGUUGGCAGCCACGGCGGGCGCAGUCCAUGAGCCUUAAGCUGUGGAAAGAGACGGUGGAGGUGCGGAGGAAGACAGGCGGCGUCCAUGGACAAGGUACUGCUAGCACAAGAAUUUGGGGAGAGAUAAGGAGACAAUUUCCGUGAGCUCGCAGAGCAGUACCUGGUAAGAGGUUUGCUGUUGUUGUGGCAACUUGAGGAGGAGCUCCAAGCCAUCCUUUUCUUCAAGUAUUCUGGUGAGAUAGUCGAGCCGCGAGCAAUCAAAGAGGGACUGCUGCUCCUGGGAAGAGAUUUGAGCCUGGACUGACUCUAGGGGGAUUUGAUAGCGCACCAAAGCGGCUCGCAGUUGUAAGCAUGGAUUGCUGUCCAUUUGUACAGGAGUGGCCUUAGGUCGGUAAUUUACACUUAAUUUUAAUGCAACUUUGAAUAUAGAAUAAAGGGAAAUUUGUUUUGGAGAUGGCUACUUGGUGAUCAUUCGCUAAUGUAAAUUAAAAUCUUUUAAUCAAGAUUAGUAUUUGCAUCAACAGAUGACAAGUGUUUUCUUAUUAUGAGGAUUUGUUCAAGGACGCUGAACCAGGCUUUGUCACUUAUCUGUGACAAAAAGGCACACAAGAUGAGCAUCUCGCUCAUCCUCUCUCUCACCAAGCAGCCAUUUGUGACUAUCUCAUAAAAAAUCCGAGGUAUUCGAUUGAAGUCCCUGGCCUGUGGAGCCUUGAUGAGCAUCAUGUAGAAGGCUGCCUUUGGAAACACGGCCAAGUUCUUGAGCUUGGCACACAUGGCCCUGACCUCCACCACCAUACCUUUGGUUCAUCAAGAUCCUGUAAGUCAUAUGAUCUGGCUAAUGCUUCUCCUCCAUCUCCUUGAUCAAGCUCUCUGCCCUCUGGAUGUUGUCACUCUCUAGAGACACCUUGGGCAACGAGCUUCCAUUUCUUCCGCUUGAUGGUGUUGUAAGGCCUGGUGUACAUGUCGAUGCCAGCUAAAUGAUUCACUCCAAUAAAUUAAUUACCUUAACCAGUUGUUAAAAUGGAGUCAAGCAAAGUUUGUUUCUAUCUAUAAGCCUGAAUUUGGAUUUACUAAAGAAGACAAAUAAGCAUCCUAUGAUAUAUGAUAUCAAUAAAAUUAUUGGAAAGGAAAGUAAAUUAGAGUUGAUAUUGAUUUUUGAAUGGGCAAUGCUUUCAUGAUGUAUGCCCAUACAUGUGUAUGGAUGGAGAUGAUGACAGACCUAGAAAAAAAUGCCAUAUGUUUACCUACGACAUCAAAGCAAUGCUGAGCAUGUCUAGAGGUAAGGUGGUUGAGACAAGGGCUUUAAUUGUUGAUGUAAUGGAAGAAUUGAAUGUUGAUCCUUUUGAAGAGAUCAAAGAAGAAUUCAAACCAAGUGCAAAUACUCUUCAGUUGGCUCCUCUUGAACAAGAACUAGUCAAGGAAGAUGGAGUAUAGUGAUUAAUGCCCAAUAUAAAAUAUACAUUAUUUAUUAUUAUUUGUAUUAGAUGCCCACACUGCUUUCUGUGUGUCAAUUUUGUACACUCCAUCAUUUUGCAUCACUAAUAUUAAUGAAAUCAAUCUGCCUUCCAUAAUAUUUGUUGGCAAAGUUGAAUAUAAAAAAGCAAUAAUUAUUUAUAACACUCUCAUUCUCAAGCACACCAUUCCCAUCCAUUUGCAAUGCAAAGUAGCAACCAGUUUGGCUAGUUUCUUUUACAUUUGCCUUCCACAAGACACCACUUACCUUUUUGACCACCAUGUCACACCCAUACGGCACCUCCAUUGAGUACCACCCAUUUUGAGACUCCAACUUUGACCCAGCGUAGACUCGUGACUUUGGUCCACUCUGGAUCAUGUUGACAUAUGGGAAACAUGACCCAAGAUCGUAUAGCAUAGAACUCGGACGUGAGUCUUGCUGGGUUGCCUCGUCAAGCACAUACUCCAUCCCAAAUCUUCCAUUAAUGAUUGUAAUAUAGUUUGCUCCUGUUGCAUACAAAUUGUUCAACAUUAUAUGUAGGAGGUUCUGAAAUGCAAAGACAAGUUGGUAGCGUUUAAGGGUGUCGUCAUGUGUUGGUGUGGCAUCACAGGUGUUGCUGUAAAAGGAGACACGGAGGAGGCACUGCUGGCUGCCAACUAAAACAACCCUAGCAAAUAUACUAGGUGAGACUGGGCCAAGCUGGCAUAUGAUGAUUAGGAUGCUAAGAGUUAUCUCCGACGGCUCCAAGCCAUAGCUUGCCAGCUUGUCAACAUCCCUUGGGCGAGCGUGAAUUUCCUUGCUCAUCCUAGAGUUCCAAUCAAAAUGUUAAAGAGAACUUGAUCUUGCACUUGCUCCAUGUCUGGAAGAGCCCCAAGAUCACCUGUUAGUCCCCAACUCUCGAGUAGAUGUUUGUGAUCACACCAAGUUCAAGAUGAGGGAAUUGCCCACCUGGAUCUGGACUCGAUGGUCACACCAAGUCGGGCUUCCAGUUCUUCCGCAUUAUCUAGUAGAGGUCCAUGGUCUCUGCCGUUCUUGCAGCCUUCCUGUAGAGGUCGAUCAUGACACUGUAUGUAACUCUGUCAAAAGAAACCCCGGUUUCACAAAGCGGCCAUGGCAUCCUCAGCUCAACCGCAACACUUGGAACAGCUAACAAAGAUGCUGAAAGUGUAGUUGUCCACUCCCUUAUAUUAAACCCUUGUUUUUAGUAAAGAACUUUACCACUGUGUUGUAAUAUACAUCCACCCAUACCAAGUAUACAUCCCCUCCACACUUUGUCUUUUAUCUCUGUAGCAAAAUAAACUAGUCCACCAGAUUUUCUCCUCCUUUUCAAUUCUCAAUAUUGUUUAAAGACUUUUUAAUCUCAAUUAAAAAUUUUAUUUUACAUUGGUGGAAAAUGUCAAACAUAAAAUGAUAGCUCUCAGUGUAAAUUCUUGACCUAUGGCUAUUACAAAUGGACAGCGAUCUAUGCUUGCAAUUGCGAGCCGCUUUGCUGCGCCAUCAAAUCCCUCUCGAGCCAGUCCAGGCUCAAAUCUCUUCCCAGCAGCAUCACUCCAUCUUUGAUCGCUCGCGGCUCGACUAUCUCACCAGAAUUCUGGAAGAAAACGAUGAGGAGCUCCUCCUCCAGCUGCCACAACAACAGCAAACCUCUUACCAGGUACUGCUCCGCGAGCUCACGGAAUGUCUCUCCCCCAAUUCUUGUGCUAGCAGUUCCUUGUCAAUGGACACCGCCUCUCCUCCUCAUUUUCCCUCGCGCACCUCCACCGUCUCCUUCCACAGCUUGCUCAUGGACUGCGCCCGAGCCGUGGCUGCCAACAAUUCCACCGACGUCCAUGAGCUCGUGAGAGAGAUCAGAACUUUAGCCUCACCUCAGUCGCGUCCGGUGGAGAAGGCCGCGCUCUACUUCACCAACGCGCUCGUCGCGAGGCUGGCCGGGUGUGGAGCUCGGAUGUACGCCGCGAUGCGCCAGGACGUGACGAGGAUCCAGAGUAUCUCCAUCCGGAUGAAUCUUCCCAGCCUCCGGGCCACGGAGCGCUUCGCCAACCAGAUGAUCCUCGAUGCCUGCCGUGGUGCCAAGCGUGUCCAUAUCGUCGACUAUGGGAUCCUCUACGGCGACCAGUGGCCGUCUCUCAUCAAGGCGCUGUCCGAGAGAGCCGAGGGGCCGCCACUGUUCAAGAUCACAGGCAUUGACUUCCCGUCCCUUGUCAACCUCGAGAAAACUGGAAACCGGCUGGUCGACUACGCAGAGUCGUGUGGGAUGCACCUCGAGUUCCACUCCAUCGCCACCGCGGCGUGGGAGUCAGCGCAGCCGCGAUACCAUCUCUUCAGCGAGCUUCUCUUCGUCAACUGCCAGCUGAGGAUGCGGCACAUCCGCGAGGACGGAAUCAUCGACAGCCCCCGGAAGCUCUUCUUCGAGAAGAUCCUCAGUUUCAAGCCCGUUAUGUUUUUCCAGUCCGUGGUGCACGCUGACAUCGGCUCUCCGUUUUUCAUCCACCGCUUCGACGGGGCCUGGAGGAGCUUCCUGGCGAGGCUGGAGUCGUUCGAGGAGACGAUGAAGCUCGAAUUGAUCGACCAGUCGCAGCUCGAUUUCAUGGAUAAGUUCAUCGAGAAGUGCGCCAUGGGUGCCAUUGCCUGUGACGGGCAGAACCGUGUGGAGCGUAUCUCCUCGUACAAAACCUGGGAUCGCCUGGCUCGGAAAGGCCAGUUCGGACAGCUUCCAGUCAGCAAACGAGCGCUCGAGAUGGUCAUGUCCGUUUGGAGCGGACACGAGAACUUCACGUACGGAAUGGACGAGAACUGGCUGCUGCUUGGCUGGAAAGACGUAGUCUUGAAUGCUUUGAGCGUCUGGGAGCCCAUUGAGAAGCUACCGCGCUUCAAACACCAGUGAUCCACCCUGUACCUACAUUCUUUCUGUAACUUCUUUGUUCCUUAUCGUGUCCUUUCUGUAAGGAGACGAUUUAAAUGUCUUCAAAGAACACUCAAGAGGAACUUACCUUGUCACGGAAGUUCUCAAGUCCAUCGCUAUAGAACCUGAAACAUACCAGCCACUUGUAGGACACGCUUUGGUCGCCAAGCACUCAUCGCGUAGAGCACUGUGUCCUUCCACCCCAGCAACAUCCAGUUUCCAUCUCUUCCGAAGCCGAAGUCGGGGUUCCUGAAAUUUCCACAAGCGCUCCUCACUUUAUCGUAAAUCUCCUCCGCCACUGCCACCCCUUCGAAGCCUGCUCGCUUUGCCCGAGCAUCCCAGACGCGAUACGAGGCCGCUCUCUCCACUCGAUCGAGCCCUUCGCACGCGACGAUGUUCAUGAUAUCUCUUGCGGCCCCCUUUUGAAUAACUCCGUGCUCUUCCGGCUUUCCUUCUGCCACCGCUUCAAAGUACUCGCUCGGGCAAGUGUCGGGUGAUAUCGUACGACUCGUCUGCUCGGAGAUCUGGAUCCCAUGUCCACUGGCGAUGGAGAGGCCUUACCAGUGAUAGAUGGUCCAAGUAUCAAAUGGAUCAAAUAGUAGAAACCUUAAACGUUGCAUGGGAAGUAAAUCGAGUCAACUUAUAAAACGAAAACAAGUCUUGGCCUUACGGUGGUCAAUGCUGAUCUAUCAUGAAAACAACUUCCUCGAAUACUUGUCC